UUGCAUGUCUCGAGACAAUCCGUGGCGUAAAUGUCUGUCUCUGGAUCCUCUAAACGUUGUUCAAUGACAGUCGAAAUGAAUUCUUCCGUCUUGGCCAUCGUAGCUUCCAUCACGGAGUUGAUAAAUAUGGAAACAUCCCCGUUUGAGGUGACAGGAGUACUCUUUUUUGAAAUUUCAAUGGUUUUUUUAUAGGCUGAGGAUGAGGAAAAGGAAGAGGACGAUUUAGAUGGAGAAAGGGGAGGUGCUUGGGAUUUAGGGAUUUUGUAUCCCUUAGGUGGGAGGGGUUUCUUAUAGGAUGAGGGCGAGGGCGAGUAUGGUUUGGAUGGAGGAGGUUCUUGGGAUUUAGGGACGUUGUAUCCCUUAGGUGGGAGGGUUUCUGUAUAGGGCGAGGACGAUGACGAUGACGAUUUAGAUGGAGAUAGGGGAGGUGCUUGGAAUCUUGGAAAAAAGAAUGUUGCCUUAGAUGGGAGGGUUGUAAAGAAUAGUGAAAUGGCAAAGACUAAAAAAAUUUGGUUAUAAAAUGCCAUUAUCUUUCUUUCUACUUUAAUAAUAGAAAGUAAGUUUGAAAGAAAGACAAUGGAAAAAAA
rnacentral:lncRNA from 1 species